GUGUUCCGUCUAUGACAAUGACUUUCCGCAUGAACUCAAAUCCCUUGAUGCAUGCACUCAGGGCGAAGAAAAGAAACUUGAACCGCUCCACACCGUCAGACCCAGGAGCUGUUUCCAAAUAGACUAGAGAGCCCGGAUUGACUUCCACCAAGAGUUUGAAGUAUGGCUGUAUCAAAGCAUAGCUCCCCAUUGCCGACCCCAUAGCAUUAUCCAUGGCAAUUUCCCUUGCUCUCCACGCUUUCCAGUAUGAGACAUUUAGGCUAAAUUCCUGCCUCAAUAUCUUCC
rnacentral:lncRNA from 1 species